rnacentral:rRNA from 1 species
AGUGAACGCUGGCGGUAGGCCUAACACAUGCAAGUCGAACGGCAGCACAGUAAGAGCUUGCUCUUACGGGUGGCGAGUGGCGGACGGGUGAGGAAUACAUCGGAAUCUACUUUUUCGUGGGGGAUAACGUAGGGAAACUUACGCUAAUACCGCGUACGACCUACGGGUGAAAGCAGGGGAUCUUCGGACCUUGCGCGAUUGAAUGAGCCGAUGUCGGAUUAGCUAGUUGGCGGGGUAAAGGCCCACCAAGUCGACGAUCCGUAGCUGGUCUGAGAGGAUGAUCAGCCACACUGGAACUGAGAGACGUUCCAGACUCCUACGGGAGGCAGCAGUGGGGAAUAUUGUACAAUGGUCGCAAGCCUGAUCCAGCCAUACCGCGUGGGUGAAGAAGGCCUUCGGGUUGUAAAGCCCUUUUGUUGGGAAAGAAAAGCAGCAGGUUAAUACCCCGCUGUUCUGACGUUACCCAAAGAAUAAGCACCGGCUAACUUCGUG